rnacentral:rRNA from 1 species
CCGGAAUUAUUGGGGUUUAAAGGGUGCGUAGGUGGGCUUAUAAGUCAGCGGUGAAAUCCCCCGGCUCAACCAGGGAAUUGCCGUUGAUACUGUUAGCCUUGGGUACAGUUGAAGUGGGCGGAAUGUAGCAUGUAGCGGUGAAAUGCAUAGAUAUGCUACAGAACACCAAUAGCGAAGGCAGCUCACUAAGUUGUAACUGACACUAAUGCACGAAAGCGUGGGGAUCAAACAGGAUUAGAUACCCUGGUAGUCCACGCUGUAAACGAUGAUCACUCGUUGUUGGCGAUAUACAGUCAGCGACUGAACGAAAGUAUUAAGUGAUCCACCUGGGGAGUACGAUCGCAAGGUUGAAACUCAAAGGAAUUGACGGGGGCCCGCACAAGCGGAGGAACAUGUGGUUUAAUUCGAUGAUACGCGAGGAACCUUACC